GAUGAACGCUGGCGGCGUGCCUAAUACAUGCAAGUCGAGCGAACAGACGAGGAGCUUGCUCCUCUGACGUUAGCGGCGGACGGGUGAGUAACACGUGGAUAACCUACCUAUAAGACUGGGAUAACUUCGGGAAACCGGAGCUAAUACCGGAUAAUAUAUUGAACCGCAUGGUUCAAUAGUGAAAGACGGUUUUGCUGUCACUUAUAGAUGGAUCCGCGCCGCAUUAGCUAGUUGGUAAGGUAACGGCUUACCAAGGCAACGAUGCGUAGCCGACCUGAGAGGGUGAUCGGCCCAACUGGAACUGGGGCACGGUCCAGACUCCUACGGGAGGCAGCAGUAGGGAAUCUUCCGCAAUGGGCGGAAGCCUGACGGAGCAACGCCGCGGGAGUGAAGAAGGUCUUUCGAUUGUAAAACUCUGUUAUUAGGGAAGAACAAAUUGGGAAGGUACUUAGCCCGGCUUGACGGUACCUAAUCAGAAAGGCACGGCUAACUACGUU
rnacentral:rRNA from 1 species